rnacentral:rRNA from 1 species
GUUGAUCCUGCCGGACCUGACUGCUAUCGGAUUGAUACUAAGCCAUGCGAGUCAUUGUAGUAAUACAAGGCAGACGGCUCAGUAACGCGUAGUCAACCUAACCUAUGGACGGGAAUAACCUCGGGAAACUGAGUAUAAUGCCCGAUAGAACAUUAUGCCUGGAAUGGUUUAUGUUCCAAAUGAUUUAUCGCCGUAGGAUGGGACUGCGGCCUAUCAGUUUGUUGGUGAGGUAAUGGCCCACCAAGACUAUUACAGGUACGGGCUCUGAGAGGAGUAGCCCGGAGAUGGGUACUGAGACACGGACCCAGGCCCUAUGGGGCGCAGCAGGCGAGAAAACUUUGCAAUGUGCGAAAGCACGACAAGGUUAAUCCGAGUGGUUUCUGCUAAAGGAACCUUUUGUUAGUCCUAGAAACACUAACGAAUAAGGGGUGGGCAAGUUCUGGUGUCAGCCGCCGCGGUAAAACCAGCACCUCAAGUGGUCAGGAUGAUUAUUGGGCCUAAAGCAUCCGUAGCCGGCUCUGUAAGUUUUCGGUUAAAUCUGUACGCUCAACGUACAGGCUGCCGGGAAUACUGCAGAGCUAGGGAGUGGGAGAGGUAGACGGUACUCGGUAGGAAGGGGUAAAAUCCUUUGAUCUAUUGAUGACCACCUGUGGCGAAGGCGGUCUACCAGAACACGUCCGACGGUGAGGGAUGAAAGCUGGGGGAGCAAACCGGAUUAGAUACCCGGGUAGUCCCAGCUGUAAACUAUGCAAACUCAGUGAUGCAUUGACUUGUGGUCAAUGCAGUGCUGCAGGGAAGCCGUUAAGUUUGCCGCCUGGGAAGUACGUACGCAAGUAUGAAACUUAAAGGAAUUGGCGGGGGAGCACCGCAACCUGAGGAUUGUGCGGUUUAAUUGGAUUCAACGCCGGAAAACUCACCAGUGCCGACGGACAAAUGAAAGCCAGUGUAAUGAGCUUGCUGGAUUGUUCGAGAGGUAGUGCAUGGCCGUCGUCAGUUCGUACCGUAAGGCGUUCUGUUAAGUCAGAUAACGAACGAGACCCUCAUCCCUAUUUGCUAAGGUCAGUCCGCUGAUCACAGGACUAUAGGGAGACCGCUGGCGCGAAGUCAGAGGAAGGCGAGGGCAACGGUAGGUCAGUAUGCUCCGAAUGCACUGGGCUACACGCGCAAUACAAAGGACGGGACAAUGGGCCGCUGCGCCGAGAGGCAUGUGGCUAUCCCGAAACCCGUUCGUAGUUCGGAUUGAGGGCUGUAACUCGCCCUCAUGAAGCUGGAUUAGGUAGUAAUCGCGUCUCAAAAAGGCGCGGUGAAUAUGCCCCUGCUCCUUGCACUCACCGCCC